rnacentral:rRNA from 1 species
AUGAUACGGCCAUCCAUUUCCACUUAUCUGCUGGACAACGAACAUCCUUACAUCUUUUUUGCCCGCAAGGAAAGAUCUGUGGUGUAUCAGAAGCCUGGUAUUCCAUUUCCGAGCCAGGCGACAGAGCUAGUUCACGGUGCCUCGACACUCAAAGUGCCUCUGAAACGUGAAGUGAUCUUGCAGAUAACUGCUGGUGGGGAGAAGACGUGGAAAAUGCAAUGGACUACACGACAUGAGAUGCUGCCACUAAUUAAGCUGCAUAUACGUACUGUUAUUAUGAAGCUGAGACUUCACGUUCAGCUUCCAAGUUCUCUGCUGGCUGGUGGCCUCUGA